AUUGAACGCUGCCGGCAGGCCUAACACCUGCAAGUCGAACGAGUGGCGGACGGGUGAGUAAUGUUUGGGAAACUGCCUGAUGGAGGGGGAUAACUACUGGAAACGGUAGAUACUACCGCAUACCAUCAGAUGUGCCCAGAUGGGAUUAGCUAGUUGGUGGGGUAACGGCUCACCAAGGCGACGAUCCCUAGCUGGUCUGAGAGGAUGACCAGCCAAACUGGAACUGAGACACGGUCCAGACGCCUACGGGAGGAAGCAGUGGGGAAUAUUGCACAAUGGGCGCAAGCCUGAUGCAGCCAUGCCGCGUGUAUGAAGAAGGCCUUCGGGUUGUAAAGUACUUUCAGCGGGGAGGCGUUACCCGCAGAAGAAGCACCGGCUAACACCAUGCCAGCAGCCGCGGUAAUUC
rnacentral:rRNA from 1 species